rnacentral:rRNA from 1 species
AUGGCCGCCGCAGGGAACCUCCCCCACCCAAGCCCCGCUACCCUGCUCAACGCCGUGCUGGACGAGUCGGCGAGCCUGGACGACCGGAACGCCCAGUGGACGGAGGAGGCCGCGCGCGAGCUGAGAAACAUCGCGGUCGCCGUCCGCGCCAACGCGCAGGCCAGGAACGUCGCCGGUGCCAGGGCCGAGCUCACGUCGACGGUUCAGCACCUGACGCCGCUCUUGUGUCACUUCAUGAGCGAAGGCGUGCAGAUGCGCAAGCUGCGGCGCAUGUUCCGCACGGCGGUGGGGGCGCCGAUGGUGCCGGCGGCCGCGCCCGACCUGCCGCCAUUUUUCCGUGUGGGAGAUCAAUGCAUGUCGCAGGCGGAGAUCAGCAAUGGGAUCCUCCGCAACACAUCAGAGAGCAUGUCCGGAAGGGUCAACGCGGCGCUGACGCUGUUGGACGUGGUGGAGGCCGGGGCGACCAACCCCGACGAGGUCUGGGGCACCGUCAAUGAGCACCUGGAGGAGGUCACCACCUACACGGAGAUGAUGGUGGCUCAGCACACCGCACUGGUCCUCCACAUGCGAUGCGUGGUGAUGAGCAUCGCGGCCGGCGUCCGCCUCUACGUGCCCGCCUAA